rnacentral:rRNA from 1 species
CCCUUAGAUGUUCUGGGCCGCACGCGCGCUACACUGAUGCGUUCAACAAGUUUCCUUGGCCGAGAGGCCUGGGCAAUCUUCUUAAUAUGUAUCGUGAUAGGGAUAGAUUAUUGCAAUUAUUAAUCUUGAGCGAGGAAUUCCUAGUAAACGCAGAUCAUCAAUCUGCAUUGAUUACGUCCCUGCCCUUUGUACACACCGCCCGUCGCACCUACCGAUUGGAUGUUCCGGUGAAGCCUCGGGAUGAGGACUGGUGCCUUUAUUGGCAUGAGUUGUUCAGAACUUGUCUAAACCUUAUCAUCUAGAGGAAGGUGAAGUCGUAACA